GAAGAAGUUUAGCUUUUAUAUACAGAACAACUAGAGACAGAGCAUUGGGAAGAGGGACUCAUUGAAGAGUUUUAAAUAGGGAAGCAACAGAAUGAGGUUUGAAUUCACAAAGACCAUUCACUUUUCCUUUAGGAAGCUAUUUAGCAGUAAGAGAAAAGCAUAGAAAUGUAGGUGGCAGAAGGGCUGGACAGAACGCAGAGUGAGUGUGCACCCAUUUCUCCCAGAGCAGGACCUUGAUCUGCAGAAUGACCAUGCUCCUGAGAGGCAAUGGAUGGUCUCUAGGGGCCCUUCCACUCUGAGGCCUACAUUUCAUGAUUGCUGACAGACUGCAAGAUACAAGAAAAGCCACAGGCCUAAGGAUUCUCUUCCUCUGGGUGGACACGCUUAACCCUAGUACAAUGUGAAGUGGAACCUGGCCUCAAUUUCGUCUCAAAUGUCCCCUCAGCUGUGUGCCUCCUGCUACACCUGCUAUUAGAGUCAGCUGCAUUUGAUCCCAAGUCUGCUCCUACUGUAUGAUCUUGUCAUUGUAAUUAUGUGAGUUAACCAAUUAUUAUGUAAAUUAAUACAAAUAAAAUGUUUUAAUUUCUUAAAAUAAAAUCUAUGCAGAAUGCU
rnacentral:lncRNA from 1 species